rnacentral:tRNA from 1 species
CGGGGCGUAGCUCAGCCUGGUUAGAGCGCCGCGUUUGGGACGCGGAGGUCGCCGGUUCGAAUCCGGCCGCCCCGA